UUAAGGGCUUGAAUGCGGGACUUUUAAUUUAACUGAAGCACAUUGGCAGUUUGGUCAUAAUACUUUCACGUAGUGAAGCUUCAUGAAGCGUUGAAGCUCUCCAUCCAGUCGGUUCACUCUGGCCCGGAGCUUCAUGGCGCUUCAUUUGCUCUACUAUGCCUUCAAGUGGACAAUACAUGUAAAACAGUCAGAGUGAUUAUGAUGACACCUUGACCAGACCCAUGUACUGCAGGGUCAAUAUGGCCGUCCCUGUCCUGGACAGGUUUUUUAAUGAGAGAGACCCCAGGCAGGAUUGCAGGCUAAGCAGAGAGUCACUGGCAGUGCUGCUGAACCUGCUCCAACAGGAUCAGAGACAUGGAUGGGGUGCCACAAUAGAGACCUUGGUGUUCCUUUUCUGGCUGGCUAGUGGGGCAUCAUACAGGGGGGUCUCAAGGGUGUUUGGGAUGCCUCACUCCACUGGCCACCGUAUCGUCCACCGAGUUACUGCAGAGGUGGUGUCCAUUGGCCACAAGGUCUUCCACUUCUCACAGACUGCUGAAGACCUGGUGGCAGUAAUUCAUGGGUUUGCAGGGCUGGCAAGACACAGAGCUUUUUUAAAACCUGCAGGAGCAAUCGGCGGCUGCCAUGUCAGAAACAAGCUACCAAGUGGCCUUGAUGGUCACUGCUACAGGAGUAGGAAAUUGUUUGUCUCCAUCAACCUGCAGGCAGUUUGUGACUAUCAGAGCCAUGUUGUAGACACGUACGUGGGCUGGCUGGGGUUGGUGCACGACUCCCGAGUACUCCUGCACAGCCCACUGUACAGGCGGGCUAUCUAACCUCCUCCAGGGCACUUCAUCCUCGCAGACAGCGGGUACCCAUGCCGCCAACAUUCACUCCCCCUCAUCACUCCCUACAAGCGGCCAGUGCAAGGUGUGGCAGCCCAGCGCUUCAACUGCCACUAUUCAGGGGCACGCACUAUCAUUGAGCGUGCCUUUUGAAUGAUGACGACCAAGAUCAGGUCAUAACAGCAUGUGCCGUCCUGCACAACAUCUGCCUGGGGGCAGGUGACAUCAUGCCCCCAGAAGAUGAGCUGCAGGACGUCAUGCCGGAGGAUGAGGGGGAGGACAGGUUGGAGGCCGCCAGUGGUGCUCCAUGGCAGGACCGGCUGUCUGCGGAGGUGUCUGCCCUGGAGGAGGUUAACCCUGACCACGACUAUCUGUAGUCUGCACUGACAUGGCAGCCGUCAGUUGAGUCAGCCCUGCAAACCCAGUUUAUGGAAGAUGUGGUGGACAGUGGAGACUGGACCCCCAAACACCCUGAGUACCGACCCAGAUGAUGCACCACUGACACCAGGGUCUUAUUGUGGCAUCCCACUCAGCCCAGCAGCACUGCCAGGGACUCCUGCUCAGCCUAUUACUGUACAACUUUGAAAUUCUGUUAAUAGUUUUGAAUAUUAAGACCACUGAUAAUAAAAAGAAAAAAAAAAUCCCUUGUUUCCCUGACUAGUAGCACUUGAUGCCAUUUGCUAACCCU